rnacentral:rRNA from 1 species
GAUCCUGGCUCAGGAUGAACGCUAGCUACAGGCUUAACACAUGCAAGUCGAGGGGAAACGACAUCGAAAGCUUGCUUUUGAUGGGCGUCGACCGGCGCACGGGUGAGUAACGCGUAUCCAACCUGCCCAUCACUCGGGAAUAACCUUGCGAAAGUAAGACUAAUGCCCAAUGAUAUCCCACGAAGGCAUCCGAAUGGGAUUAAAGAUUUAUCGGUGAUGGGUGGGGAUGCGUCUGAUUAG